GAUGAACGCUAGCGGCAGGCUUAAUACAUGCAAGUCGUGGGGCAGCAUGAGUAGCAAUACUUGAUGGCGACCGGCAAACGGGUGAGGAACACGUACACAACCUUCCUUCAAGCGGGGAAUAGCCCAGAGAAAUUUGGAUUAAUACCCCAUAAUAUAUUUGAUAAGGCAUCUUAUUAAUAUUAAAGCUUCGGCACUUGAUGAUGGGUGUGCGGCUGAUUAGAUAGUUGGCGGGGUAACGGCCCACCAAGUCUACGAUCAGUAGCUGAUGUGAGAGCAUGAUCAGCCACACGGGCACUGAGACACGGGCCCGACUCCUACGGGAGGCAGCAGUAAGGAAUAUUGGACAAUGGACGAAAGUCUGAUCCAGCCAUGCCGCGUGAAGGAUUAAGGUCCUCUGGAUUGUAAACUUCUUUUAUAUGGGACGAAAAAGGGCAUUCUUGUUCACUUGACGGUACCAUAUGAAUAAGCACCGGCUAACUCCGUGCCAG
rnacentral:rRNA from 1 species